rnacentral:lncRNA from 1 species
CUCGUUUCUAGCGCAUGCUACAGUUGUCAACUGACAUAAUAAUUAAUCCUCAUUAAUUCAUAGUCCUCAAAUGCAACCCCCAAAAGCAAUCAAAAACAAAGGGAAAAUGGGGUGCUGUUGCGAGGAGGAAGAAGACUAUGUAGUGACCCCACGGGACCUCCGCCGGCCCCUCAAUCCCAGCCACCACCAUGGGCGCGAAGCUCUACAGUGUACCGAUCUAGUUAUCUCACCAAUGAAUUCUAACUUCUCAACUCUAUUAUGCAAGGACACUCUCCGCGCCAUAUUGGAGAACCUAUCACUCGUCGACCUGGUAAUUCGUGGCCGCUGAUAGGGAUAUGCAGACCAAGGCUUUUAUUUUCCCCUGGAAACUUCGGGAUGUUGUUGGAAACUCUACCUCUACUGGCUUCUGAAGAGACAAUUUGCUCAACAAAUUUGCCAUUUCGCAUUAGCUGUCGUGUGGAGACUCAAUCACCAGCCUCAUGUCAAAUAUUUCGUUCAGUAUUUUAAGUUGUUAUUUGUAGAUUUGCUACGUACAAGGAAGAAGAUGUCGUUGAAGGAAGAAGAUGAAUGAUUUUUUAUUUACUUUUUUUUAAUUUAUAUUUUUAAUUAUAUAUUUGUCAUUAAUUUGUAAUUUUUCAAAAAUUUG